rnacentral:rRNA from 1 species
AACGAACGCUGGCGGCAUGCCUAACACAUGCAAGUCGAACGAAGCCUUCGGGCUUAGUGGCGCACGGGUGCGUAACGCGUGGGAAUCUGCCCCUUGCUUCGGAAUAACAGUUAGAAAUGACUGCUAAUACCGGAUGAAGUCUUCGGACCAAAGAUUUAUCGGCAAGGGAUGAGCCCGCGUAGGAUUAGGUAGUUGGUGGGGUAAAGGCCUACCAAGCCGACGAUCCUUAGCUGGUCUGAGAGGAUGAUCAGCCACACUGGGACUGAGACACGGCCCAGACUCCUACGGGAGGCAGCAGUGGCGAAUAUUGGACAAUGGCCGCAAGUCUGAUCCAGCAAUGCCGCGUGAGUGAUGAAGGCCUUAGGGUUGUAAAGCUCUUUUACCAGGGAUGAUAAUGACAGUACCUGGAGAAUAAGCUCCGGCUAACUCCGUG